rnacentral:rRNA from 1 species
AAUGAACGCUGGCGGCAGGCCUAACACAUGCAAGUCGAACGGGUCCUUCGGGACUAGUGGCGGACGGGUGAGUAACGCGUGGGAACGUGCCCCUUGGUACGGAAUAGCCCCGGGAAACUGGGAGUAAUACCGUAUGUGGUCGAGAGACGAAAGAUUUAUCGCCAAGGGAUCGGCCCGCGUUGGAGUAGGUAGUUGGUGGGGUAAUGGCCUACCAAGCCGACGAUCCAUAGCUGGUUUGAGAGGAUGAUCAGCCACACUGGGACUGAGACACGGCCCAGACUCCUACGGGAGGCAGCAGUGGGGAAUCUUAGACAAUGGGGGAAACCCUGAUCUAGCCAUGCCGCGUGAUCGAUGAAGGCCUUAGGGUUGUAAAGAUCUUUCAGGUGGGAAGAUAAUGACUGUACCACCAGAAGAAGCCCCGGCUAACUCCGUGCCAGCAGCCGCCGUAA